CCUACGGGAGGCAGCAGUGAGGAAUAUUGGUCAAUGGGCGCGAGCCUGAACCAGCCAAGUCGCGUGAGGGAGUACUGCCCUAUGGGUUGUAAACCUCUUUUGUCGGGGAGCAAAAGCCGGACGUGUCCGGCUGUGAGAGUACCCGAAGACACAGCAUCGGCUAACUCCGGGCCAGCAGCCGCGGUAAUACGGAGGAUGCGAGCGUUAUCCGGAUUUAUUGGGUUUAAAGGUUGCGCAGGCGGAUUUUUAAGUCAGCGGUAAAAUCGUGGGGCUCAACCCCAUCCAGCAGUUGAUACUGGGGAUCUAGAGUGUGCGAGAGGUAUGCGGAAUGCGUGGUGUAGCGGUGAAAUGCAUAGAGAUCACGCAGAACCCCGAUUGCGAAGGCAGCAUACCGGUGCACAACUGACGCUCAGGCACGAAAGCGUGGGUAUCGAACAGGAUUAGAUACCCUUGUAGUC
rnacentral:rRNA from 1 species